GCUCCCGGCGCAAUAGCAGCGCUGCCUAGGGGGGCUUUGAAGUGACAGUGAAACACCAAGAUUCAGUGUUGUCUCCCGAAGCAGACGGAGGGUUCCAGCACCAACUUUUGGAAGAAUAUUUAGCAGCUUUGCAGAGAGACUGGGUCUAACAAGGUUGUGUAUGGAUUGGACCCUGGCUGGGAGCUUCUGCCUGUGUAACUGCCCCUGGGACCUUUGAUGGCGGGAACUCUGCCCUUCUUGACAGGUGGCAGAGCUUGAAACGGGGGGUUGAUUUGGAAGGGAUGCUAACUCCUGAGAGAGAGAGAGAGUGAUCCCUGUUACAUCAUAUGUUAGACUUGGGGUGGGGAGGGAGGUGGUUUUCUUUCUUUGUACAGAUCAGCACAGUAUUAACUAUGGAUUACAAAUUUUAAAAAAGCGAAUGAGUUUGGAAGAACUGUAAGACUGUUUACAUUUAUCUUUUAUUUAGUUAGUUCUACUGUAUUUAUAUUGUAAAAGGUAAAGGUAAAGGGACCCCUGACAGUUAAGUCCAGUUGCGAACAACUCUGGGGUUGGGGCGCUCAUCUCACUUUACAGGCCGAGGGAGCCAUCCGCUUCCACAGACAGUUUUCUGGGUCAUGUGGCCAGCAUGACUAAGCUGCUUCUGGCGAACCAGAGCAGCGCACGGAAACGCCAUUUACCUUCCCACCGGAGCGGUACCUAUUUAUCUACUUGCACUUUGACGUGCUUUCGAACUGCUAGGUUGGCAGGAGCAGGGACCGAGCAACGGGAGCUCACCCCAUUGCAGGGAUUUGAACUGCCAACCUUUUGAUCGGCAAGCCCUAGGCUCAGUGGUUUAGACCACAGCGCCACCUGCGUCUCUUAUUUAUAUUGUAAAUAGACAUAAAAGAAUCAUAACAUCAAUAGAAUCAGCAGUUAAAGUAUACAUAUUUAAGAAACACACAUUGAAUGCAUUGAGGCUUGCAUUGCAGGGGGCUUGGACUAGAUGACACUCUGGGUCCCUCCCAGCCAAAAAGCAAAAGUGCACAGGCUUUGUGUAUUUGAAGAAAGAGCAAAGCUUGACGGCAGAACACCUGCUUUGCAUGCAGAAGGUCCCACGUUUGAUCACCGUAUUGAUCUCCUUUUUGUGUUGCUUUCACAUUUGCUGCAAACACUGCAGAACGCUGCAACUUCUUGUGCUCCUUGUUAGGAGUCAUUCUGCAAAGAAACUGAAAAGAUGAUUGUCACUUUAAGAACUGUUUCUGUGAGUUCUGGGUGUGGUUUUCUAGGCUGUUUAGGUACAGCUGGUGAUGAGUACAAAAGGAGAAGUUGCAGUUUGAAUUUCCCUUCAAAAGUGAAUACCCACAUGCUUUGUAAGGUUGUAAGGUUGUAAAUAAAACUCUUGCUUGAGUAUUUUACACCUGUCUCACAGUUCUGUCGUCUGCUGCCAGGAAGAUACAGUUCCACUACUCCUGUGCUCACAUGCACUAAAUAUCUAUGCUGGAGCCACCAUCCCAUUCGUAAGAUUCAUGAUCUAUAUCUUGCUUGAACUGCAAGGAGCUCAGAGGGGCAUCUAUACUUUCCCCCUGCCCGGUUAUCCUUCCAACGAGUCUGCGAAGGAGCGUCUGAGAGUAAGUGAGUGACCCAAGAUCUCUUGGUGACCACUAUGGCUGAGUGAGGAUUUGGUUUCUGGUCUCCCUGCUUGCUGCAGAACUGCAGCUCUUUGUGCAUUUCAGGGGGUUGGACUAGAUGACCCCCAGGACCCCUUCCAACUCCACGAUUCUAUGAUUCUACAUUCUGUGGGUCUUUAAAAGAUGGGCCAUCGCAUAAACUCUGGUGUCUUGAGCUUUUUAAUUAACCCCCUUUGAGGUUGCAAAUGUUUGUGUUAAUCUUUUAAAGUGCUAACACAAGGCUUUGAGCACGAGAGUGCUGCAGCAGACUCAGGAGCCAGUUAGGCUGAGAGGGAGUGUCUCGCCCAAGGUCACCCAGUGUGUCUCAUAGCUGAGUGGGAAAUUGAACCCUGCUCUCCCAGGUCCAGCACUCUAACCACUAGGCCACAUGGAUUCUCCUGGAAUCUUGGCAUGGUGACCAUGCGUUCCAUGUCACCAAGCAAUGGAGGCUCUGACUGUUUGAACUGAGGUUCUGGCAUCCUCAGCGUGGAGAGGUUGGCAGAGGUUUGCUGUAGUGACCCUUGCUUGUUUGAAUUAGAAUAUGGCGUUUGAAAGACUCCUGGAGGUGAGUGAAAGUUGGCAUUUCCAGGGGACUUAGCUGUAGGACAUAGAAUAAUGGUAUCACCAAGUUUGGCAAAGAGCUAUCAAAGGUCAAAUGAAACUUUUUGGGCAAGUUUUUAGAAGGGGAGAAUGAAUGCUGUAAAGGAAAAUUUAGUCUUUUAUGUUGUAGUUGGGUGAAUAUUAUUUUAAACAGACAUUCUUAAUGCUGUUGGGCAUUAAAGAAACAUGUGAAUCUGGGAAAGGGUUAAUUGAUAUUUCUACAUAAUAGAUAUUAACUUUGUACUCUUGUUUGAAAGGGAAAGGAAAAAACAGAAGAACAGGUAGCGCGGUCAGCUGGCCCAGCGGAGGCAUAGAAGGUGCUGGGUGGAUCUGGUCUUUUCACAGAGCUGAUUCAUGGAGCCUGCAUCUCACCUCACGGAGUCAGUCUGAGGGAAGGGUUGCUCUCGGGUGCAGGCAAGGCAGAGAGAGGAGGCCUAGCGGAGCUCUACUCAUGGAGGAAGGAGGGACGAGACUCAACGCCAGCAGCUCUGCUGAGACAGGCCAGCUCCAGCAGGCUUCUCCCUCAACGGUCAUCUGGCUGCAGCCAUUUCAACAGGCUGACUCCAUGGGAGAGAUAGGACCAGCACUCUAGACAUUGGGGGCCUGAGUUUGUGAGAUUUCUUUUCCUCUGCCCUCCUUGCUCCUCUUCCUUCUGUGUUGUGUUUCUGUUUGUUGGUUUGUUUAUUCGAAUGUAAGCCUGUGACUAGGGAGUGUCUUGUUUUUGAUUUUGUAUAAGCCAUUCUGGGAGCCUUUUUAGCUGAAACGAGGAGUACAAAUGCCUUGAAUGAAUGAAUGAAUGAACAAACAAAUGAACGAGUUUUUCCUGUGGGCAUCUCUGACCUUCAUCUCUUGUUUCAGGUCGCCUUGCUUCCUGCAGAGCAGCUCUUGGUGGCCAAGUGCUUCCUGGCCAGUGACCUUACUGUUGAGAGCAUCUUCAAACCCUUGGACAUCUCCCACUUGCUGCAAGAGUUCAGCAGCAAAGCAGUGGAGGUAAGGUGCUGCCAGGGUAGGAGUAAUAAUAAUAAUAAUAAUAAUAAUAAUAAUAAUAUUUCUACUCUGCCCAUCUGGCUGGGUUUCCCCAGCCACUCUGGGCGGCUUCCAGCAUAAGGUUGGAAGGGACCCCUGACCAUUAGGUCCAGUUGUGGCCGACUCUGGGGUUGCGGGGCUCAUCUCGCUUUAUUGGCCAAGGGAGCCGGCGUACAGCUUCUGGGUCAUGUGGCCAGCAUGACUAAGCCACAUCUGGCGAAACCAGAGCAGCGCAUGGAAACGCCGUUUACCUUCCCGCCGGAACGGUACCUAUUUAUCUACUUGCACUUUGACGUGCUUUCGAACUGCUAGGUUGGCAGGAGCAGGGACCGAGCAACGGGAGCUCACCCCAUCGCGGGGAUUUGAACCGCCAACCUUCUGAUCGGCAAGUCCUAGGCUCUGUGGUUUAACCCACAGCACCACCCGCAUCCCUUUAACAGAAGGUUAAAAAUACAUUAAAACAUCAGUCAUUAAAAGCUUCCCUAAACAGGGCUGCCUUCAGAUGUCUUUUGCCUUGAAGUAGGGGAGUCCACCUCAUGCCAUUGGGUGGCCAUGACACAUGUUUGCUGAGAGGGGCCUCACAAUGUCAGAACAAGAACCACAGCAAAGGGUCCUGAGACAGCCCCACUUCCUGGUACCAUCUGAGUGACCCUCUCCUUCAUCUCUGACAGGUGGAGGUGCUGCUGGAGGCCUUCCAUAAGAUCACUAAUCAUAUUAAUGCAUCUACCCAAUACCGAUUCAACUGUAUAAUUUUAUCAUGAUUUAUUGUAUACUGUGUAUACAAACAGUACACAAACAUGAUCUAAAUUACAAUACUUUCCUUGCCUUUGCCAAAGCAAAAUCACUGAUGAUAUCAUCAAAUGAUAAACUGCGUAGCUUGUCACUUUCUAUGCACCUGAGGCUGAGGUAGCAUAAUUUAUCUUGAGACAUAUAUAUAGAAAUGAGCAAACCAGUAAUAUUUUAGGGAGGAGGCUAGCAGGCGGGGGCCAUUGCUUACAUCAUAGCAGCCUACACAACACAAAACACUGUUGCUGUAUCUAGGCUUUAUUUUAUUUGUUUUUUAUCAUAUUUUGGAAAUGUACAUCCAGUUGCUUUUUUCCUUUAAUUUUUUUGGGGGGCCCCAAAAGAGUGGGGUCCUAAGCUAUAGCUUGUUUAGCUUAUAUGUAAAUGCAGCAUUGGUCAUGCUUGCCACAUGACCUGGAAAGCUGUGGACAAACGCCGGUUCUCUUGGCCCAAAGUGAGAUGAGCUCCACAUUCGCCUUUGACCAGACUUAACUGUCCAGGGGUCCUUUACCUUUUUACCUUUGAGAUGGACCAAUGGUCUCCCUUGGUAUAAGGCAACUUACUGUGUUUCUGUAUUGUGAAUAUUUGUGUGGCAAACAAAGAGUUAGAAAAUUCUCUUAUUUUACAGCCAGUUUGAUUUCCUUUAGUCUAUGCAUUUGACCUUUAAUCAGAUUCACUGUCUGUGCCUUAAUGGAAAAUCUAGGCAUCCUGAGCCUCUUUGAUUGCUGACAUUUAGAGCCAAGGAUUUGUUGUGUCUAGAGCUUGAUCAGACAGUUGAGAAGAGCUGCUUAGGUGGCAGCACUGAUUUUGAAGCCCUUGGGUUCAAUCUUCCAAAGAGGUAACCAUGCAAAAAUGAUAUAGGAAUAGUAUUAAAUAAAAUAAUGUGUCUUGGGUUUAUUGCCAAGCAUUUUCCUGUUUCAAUUUUUAGGCUUAAAACAGCCAUUUCAGUGGGAUAUACAUACUGCAUUUUUCUGUGUAUGAUACGCCCCCGUAUAUAAGACACCCCCUCUUUUUUGGGACUCCAAAUAGAGAAAAUUGGGGGAGAUUGCCCCCGUGUAUAAGACGACCCCCACUUUUUAGCAUUACUUAAUUUUAAAUAAAAAACCUAGUCUUAUACACCGAAAAAUACAGUAUAUAUAUAUAUUUAUUCAUUCAUUCAUUCAUUCCUGGCAAAUCUUCACCUUUUAAAAACCGUGAUUGGUGCCAUUGUUUCCUUUGGCUUCUUCUUCUUUUUCUUUGCUGAAUGGAUCAUCCUUGCCAAUCAGGCAUCACUUACUGAACUUUUUACAGAACAAAAAUUAUAAAAUGAAAUUUAUAUUUUUCGCAAGGAAAAACUGCAUUUUGGCAUUCUCUGGCAAUAGAGAUGCGCUUUGUAUUUGAAGAGCAUUGCCAGCCGAGCUGAACACACUUUCAAAUGGCACAUUUGUUCCUGGGAUAGCCAAAAACUUCUUUGCAAGCCCCUUCAACAUUGGGAAGGAUGCCUCAUGUGCUCCCCCCCCCACGUCAGGGGGCAUCCAUCAAUGUCCACUCCUGGCAUGGCCAUCUAGGAGAAAAUGGGCAGCAUAAGGAGGUGGGGGGAGACAGAAGAGGCUCAAAGGGCACAGCAGGGGGGGGGGUUCUCCCCUUUUACUCUGAAGCAACUUGCAAGCCAACAAACAUCUCAAGAGUGUAUUUCCCUCCUGCUUAUGGCUGGGGAGGGGAGAGCUGAAGGCUCACAGUAUAAUAAUAAUAAUAAUAAUAAUUAUAAUAAUUAUAAUACUAAUACUAAUUUUAUUAUUUGUACCCCGUUCAUCUGGCUGGGUCUCCCCAGCCACUCUGGGCGGCUUCCAACAAAGAUUAAAAAUACAUUAAAAUGUCACACAUAAAAAUAUUCCCAGGGCUGCCUUCAGAUGUCUUCUAAAUGUUAGGUAGUUAGGUAGAUCUCUUUGACAUCUGGUGGGAGGGCGUUAAACAGGGUGGGCGCCACCACUGUGAAGGCCCUCUGCCUGGUUCUCUGCAAUUUGGCUUCUCGCAAUGAGGGAACCGCCAGGGUGGAAACGCUCCUUCAGGUAUACAGGACUGAGGCCGUUUAGGGCUUUAAUGGUCAGCACCAACACUUUGAAUUGUGCUCGGAAAUGUAUUGGGAGCCAAUGUAGGUCUUUCAAGACUGGUGUUAUGUGGUCUCGGCGGCCGCUCACAGAGUUAACAUGGGGUUGGCAGCCUCCUGUGGGCUGCUUCUGCCCCAAAGAAAGGCACACACAACGAACACUGGGUGAUUCGCCCCUUUUAUUCUGAAGCAACUUGCAAGCCACAAUCACACACACACACACACACACACACACACACACACACAGAACGCAAUCAAAGCACUUCAGGGCAGACUGAGCUAAAGAAACAGGGGGAUAAAGAAAUGGAGCUAAAGAAGCCUCUCUUAACAGCUCUGCACCCCUCCAGGAAAGUUCCUUGCCCUGGUGACAUGGCUCCAAACGAAGCAUCACCUGGGGAGCAGAGGGGAGAGGGAGUCAGGGAGACACAAUCACACCCACACACAAGCAGUAUACAGUGGUACCUCGGGUUAAGUACUUAAUUUGUUCCAGAGGACCGUACUUAACCUGAAACUGUUCUUAACCUGAAGCACCACUUUAGCUAAUGGGGCCUCCCACUGCAGCCACACGAUUUCUGUUCUCAUCCUGAAGCAAAGUUCUUAACCCAAGGUACUAUUUCUGGGUUAGCGGAGUCUGUAACCUGAAGCGUAUGUAACCUGAGGUAUCACUGUAGUUUUAACAAGGGGCCAACUGCAGCUUACAGAAAAAAAUGUGGUGUCGGCUGGGUCGUUGAAAACCUGAGUGUUUUUUGUCGGCUGGUGGCUGCUUCUUCACAAAAACAAACACACCAGACACCCCACCAACGGGAGGGAAGAGGGAGACACACGUACACACUUGGGCGCCCACAAGCAGUACACACACGUCCCAGCCUGGCGCCUUUACGCAAGAGCCUGGAGGGAAGAAGUCCCUGCUUGCAGGCUGGAUGGCCGGGGAGACAGAGAGCUAACCGGUUCUCAAAGCUCUGCUGGGCGAUUUUUGAAUCGGUGAUUUGUAGCUAUUUCUUGCUGCAGGAGGUGGGGAAGAGCUAGCUGAGGUGGAGUUAGCAAGGGCUGAACGGAUAGGAAGAAGCAUCAGUUUUCUGGUUUUUCCAAAAUUGUGAUUUUUUAAUACCACACACAUGAGAUGCGAUAAAUUGCAAAGUCAUUUUGUAAAAAACGGUUAUCACGAUUUGAUCUAAAACCCGGUAUCAGACGAUAUAUCGAUUUAUAGCACAGCCCUACGGACAGUAUCCAUCUGCUUCUUUGGCAGACAAGCUACAUAUACGCAAAGAUCAAUCAGAGCCAUAACCUCUGAGGACAAAAAUGUGGCAUUUCCACCAAUUAGAGUGGUAUUCUUAAUCAGCUUCCUGUGCACGUGGGGUUUGGUAGUUUGCCUACUUCCAACUACAGCAUUUUGACCAUGAACACAGUAGAGAGCAGAUGCAUUAAAAAUGAAAUGAUUGCAGCAUGGCUUGCAUUUUCUAAAAGGGUAUAUGUUCCUGGCUGCCACUAGAAAUAUUUCUCUGCAACAGAAGGAUUGUGUCUUAUAACAUUUUCAGAUUUUAUUUUCCUGGCUGUCACAGCAAAUCCACUUCAGAAGAGGGUAUAAAUUGUUUACUUGUAUGUCUUUUUUAAUAAUAAUAAUAAUAAUGAAGGAAUAAUAAUGAAGGGAUGGGUUUCUGAGCAGGAAUAUCCUUUUAUGGUCAGGAGUGCAGGAAGGAAAUCCCUUUUAUGGUUAAGAGUGCCGGAGCAGGAACAUCUGUGAUGUCAACCUGCGUGUAUAGGCUGACGUGGUUGGAUUCCUGGGGAACGAGGGAGAGGGUUCCUGGAGGAUAUAUAUACUGCAUGAAAUGUCUCAUUUCUUUGGACUUGCUGUGGACUCACCACACAAGUGCCUUCUGCUAUCCGAAGAGCAGAAUAAACUCUUUCUUUGAACCAACCUCGGCGUCAUUUGACUUCCUUCCUCCCGUCCAGGAGCAACACAGACCCAAUCGGUGAACUCCAAUAAGGCUACAACAACAACAACAACAACAACAACAACAACAACAACAACAAUGUUUUUUAAAAGAUCUACCAAAAGGAAUUAGGCUGCCUACUUUAGUUUACUGACAUUUCUAACGAGAUUGCUGAGGUAUGUGUAUUUUGAUAAAUCUCUUGACUCCUACUUUUCUUCCAAGAUUGCUAAAAUUAAGAAAAGAACAGACCAGGCAAACAGCACACUAGGAGUUUAGACUCCAGCUCUGACUGAUGUCUUCCAUUUCACACUGAACAGACGGUGCAACAGGUUUUGCUUGACUGCAGCUGGGAAAAGAACAGAGUGCCCUGGCAAGUUUGUUCGCUAAAUCUAGCACACAUCAAGUUACUAAAAAUACUUCAGCAAAAGCAAAAAUUUGGGGGAAAACAACAACAAAAGGCAGUGAUAACCCUUAAACAUUAUGACAAAAAUUAAGCUGAACUGUAUGAAAUGUACUGUUGACAGAUUUUCUCUUUUUGAGAAGCAGCAGUGAAUGCAACAAGGGCAUUUUAAUAUGUUUGAUUAAUUUAUUCUAACUUUAAUAAUAAAAAUAUGGAAUUGAAACACUUUAAGCCUAAGGAAAUUUUACAGUCAGGAAAAUGUGCUUUGUUCUCAGGGUUGCAUCAGAGAGACCUGAUACUUUUCCAAUAUGCAUUAAGCAGAAGACCUUUCAGCCACUCUAAACAUUCAACAAUAGCAUUUGAUGCUCUUGGGAUGAAAUCUACUUGCCUAACUGCAAGGACAUACUUGGCAAUAUAAGUAAUCACUUCUAUUCAGCGACACUUGUGAAUAAUGAUGAACUCAAAAUUGGAUUUGGCCAGCUGAUAUUUCAAGGCCACAAGGGCAUUUGUUUAAAAAUACAUUAGUUUAGACUACAUGUGACAUCUUGAUUUGAGGUUGCUUGUAAGAAGCAGGAGCCAAAAAUGUUAGCAGUCGGUGCAGGGCACUGCUGGCCAGUCAAGGAAAGGGCGUUGAUGUUACUGCUCAGUGGAAACAGACAUUUAUUCUUGCUGGGCCACUUCCCCAGCUGGCUGCAACUGCAGACUUUUCUUUAUGCGACAGGAUAUUUGUAUACAGAAUAGACACCCGUGGCAGAGACCCAUUCAUCUGGCUGGGAAAGCUUGUCAGGACAGAAAUGCCUUCAGUUGUUUCUGGAAAGUGCAGAUAUUGAGUGUAGCUUGAGAGGAAUGCUAUUCCACAAGGCAAGCAGCCACGCUGUUACUGUGGAACAGGCUUCUGAGACCUUUGGCUCUUGCAGGAGGUGUUAUCCCACAGACCAGGGCCGUCUUAAGCAUAUCUGGUGCCGUGGUGCAAAGAUCCCUCCGGUGCCAUCCCGGCAACUCCAAAACAAGGGAGGGGGCAGUGGAAAAUGUCCUCUGCCUCCCCCACCGCCCCGAUCAAGCAGGAAAAUGUGCUGGCGGACCUGCUCUCUGGCGUUGGAGCGCCAGAGAAGGCAGCCUGGGAAGGCUGUGCACCACCUUUUGCCAGGAAGCAGGAGGACGACGACGGGGAGCAGAGCCGUCUUCAGCAGAUGCAGAGGAUUGGGAGGGAAGCUGCACGCCUGCCAGCCAUAUAGUUGACGGGGUGCAGCUGGCGGGCUUGCAGGGAAAGGGGAGGCUGCAGGCAAAGCUGUGCAGCUCCCCCACUUGCUGGGGCACCCCUGAGAGGCCGGCGCCCUGGCACAAUGAACCACUAAGACCAGUGGGAAAGACGGCUCUGCCGCAGACCACAGUGACCUGAGUAUAUCUGGUAACAUGGUCCUGAGCUGUGUCUUCUGUGUUAGUUCCAAGACCUUGAACUUGACCUGGUGGCAGAUCCGGUGCAGAUCCUGCACGCAAGGUGCUACAUGCUGGCAGCACUUUGCCCCCAGAAGGAGCCCAGCUAUUGCAUUCUGCAGCAGCUGCAGCCUCUGGACCACCCUCAAGGGUAGCCCCACAUAGCAUGCAUUGCAGUACUCCAACCAGGAGGUUACAAUGCAUGGAGAGGGUAGUCAGGUUAUCCCGAUCCAGAAACGGCUGUAGCUGUCUUCCCAAUAAAGGUUGGUAAAAGGCACUCCUAGCCCCUGUGCCCCCUGUGCCUCUGUUGGCAGAGCUGGACCUAGGAGCAACCCCAAACUCUGCAGGGAGAGUGCAGCUGUAUCCAGGGCUGGAAACUAACCGACUUGCCGGAAUCACUCAUCUUUGGAGCAUCCAUCUUGCCAGGAUUUAGACUGAGUUUAUUAGUUCUCAUCCAGCCCACCAUUUCGUUCAGGGCCUUCCCAGCCAUUCCUGAUUCACAUGUUACAGAGAAAUAAAGUUGAAUAACCGCAGCAUACUGAUGACCCCUUGCCUCCAGUAGUGGAGCUUCAUGCUCCGGCACCGGGGGGCGAAGAGCAGGCGAGGCCGGAGCCGAUGCAUGUCCCGGGGGUGUGGCGCUGUGUCUCGGGGGUGCGAUGCCCAGCACGGGGGGGGGGGGAGCUGCGAUGGCACCACACCGGGAUCACGCUGCCAGGGGUGGUGUGCUGCCCCUGCACCCCUCUUCCUCCACCAGUGCUUGCGUCAAAGCUAAUGCCCGCUCCCAGUGGCUACAUGUAGGUGUUAAAUCCUUGCACAGUUAGAACUCUGCAGUGCUAGGGAUGGAUGGACCUGUCCGUUUGGGUUCUCUCCGUUUCUCAUUUUUCCAAUCUUGAAUUCAGUUCUCUACAUUUCUGCAGCAAUUCUCUUAAACAAGAAAUCAGUGUCAGAAUUGGCCAGUAUGUAUUUUUGUGUGAAUUUCUUGUGGUGAACACAUUUUUGUAUGCAAUUUUGACUAAUGCAACACAUUUUUACAAGCGAUUUAUCCUAAUGGGAUGCAUUUUUGUAUGUUGUUUUCACUAAUAUAUUCACUAUUAUGCAUCCCUUGCCCCAAUAUCUGCAAAAAAAAAUUUUGGGGGGGGGCCUGCAUCACAAAAUUGAAGUGUGAAUUUUGAAACCUCCCUGUGUUUCAAUUAUCGUAUCAUUUCAGAUGCAAAUUUAAGAUGCAAACUGAACUGAACCGCCACCUCCCGUUCUCACACAAUGACACUGAAUGCCUGAAUAGGGCUAUAAUCUCCUUUUGCUCAGUGCCUUGACAGCUGAGAAUCCAAAGCCAAGCCUCUUCAGCGAUGCCUUCAUAAGAACUUCUUUGUUUCUAUGCACAUUUCUCUAUGGGGGAGAGUGUGACUGAGUUGUGUUGGGCCUGCUUGCCCAUAAAAUGUUACACCCAGCCCACCAUUCUGUGACACUUUUCUGUGUCAGAGGAAUAUGCAAUAAACUUUUCCUUAAAGAUCUGAGUUUUAGAAGUUAUUUUAAAACUACAGCUGAACUGUACAGAAAGUUAGUAAAGGUAAAGGGACCCCUGACCAUUAGGUCCAGUCGUGGCCGACUCUGGGGUUGUGGCGCUCAUCUCGCUUUAUUGGGCGAGGGAGUCGGUGUACAGCUUCUGGGUCAUGUGGCCAGCAUGACUAAGCCGCUUCUGGCAAAUCAGAACAGCGCACGGAAACGCCGUUUACCUUCCCGUCUGAGCGGUAUCUAUUGAUCUACUUGCACUUUGACGUGCUUUCAAACUGCUAGGUUGGCGGGAGCAGGGUCCAAGCAACCGGAGCUCACCCCAUCACAGGGAUUCGAACCGCUGACCUUCUGAUCAGCAAGUCCUAGGCUCUGUGGUUUAACCCACAGUGCCACCCGCGUCCCAUGUACAGAAAGUUAGUAUCUGGCUAAAUUGUGCCUGGGAAUGCACAUCUUUCUUUGGUCUGAAAAUGCAUGUUCAUGUUCAUUCUGUUGUAUAGUUCAAAGACAUAUAUAAUCUCAAUAAUCCUUAAAACAAUCAUCUAACAAAGCAUUGCCAACAUAUUGUAGCUGAGGUGGGGGUUUGAGGCUGAGAGAAGGUGGCUUACCUAGAGAAGACUGGGGAAACUGUGGACCCUCCAGAUGUUACAGAACUGCAAUAUCUGGAGGCAAAGAAGGGUUCUCCACUCCUGAGCUAAAGGGAUCACUGCUGAGGUGAGAUUUGAUCCAGGGAUUUUCCUGACACACGGUUCAAAUGCUAACUCUCCUCUCCUAAAUACCAUAUACUACAGUAAGUAGACCCAUUGCUUGGUCCCUGCUCCUGCCAACCUAGCAGUUCGAAAGCACGCCAAAGUGUAGAUAAAUAGGUACUGCUCCGUGGGAAAGUAAAAGGUGUUUUCGUGCGCUGCUCUGGUUUCAGUGUUCCAUUGCACCAGAAGCGGCUUAGUCAUGCUAGCCAAAGACCCGGGGAAACUGUCUGCAGACAAACGUCGGCUCCCUCAUCCAGUAAAGCGAGAUGAGUGCUGCAACCGCAGAGUUGUUUGCGACUGGACUUAACUGUCAGGUGUCCUUUACCUUUACCUUAUUGUAAUAAGUAAGUAGCAGCCGUGGUCCCAACAGUGGGGAAACAAGAAGAUGAUUUAUAGAUGUUUUUUAAACACCAAAUAAAUUAGCCAAAAUAAGUAAAACUAAGUAAAGUAUGCAUUGGAAGUGUAAACUGACAGAAGGAACAUUUUUUCAUAUGUGGAAGGGGAGGACAGGAAGUCAAUGGAUAAAGUAACUAAUGGUUUAUGUUCAAAUUUGUGGGGUACAGAGGAGAGGACAAAAUCACAAUGCCUCACUUGAAGGCACCAACAAACCUACUGAAGCUAAACAGAUUCUGAGUUGGGUCAGUGCCCGGGUGGAGGCUCUCAAGGACCCAUCUGCUCCAGGAAACACACAUGGAAUAGAAAUAGAUAACAUUGGUUUGAAAGCCGUGGCCCACUGAUUGCCCCAGUGGCGGAGAGCAGGUGGGGUGUGUGGCUGAUGUGUGUCCCAGGGGCGUGGCACACUGCCUGCAGGGGCAUAGCACGUGUCCCGGGGGCGUGAUGCCCAGCGUGGGCAGGGGGGCAGCUGCGAUGGCACCCCACUGGGAUUGCGCUGCCGGGGGUGGUGCACUCCCCCUGCACCCCUCUUCCUCCGCUAGUGGGCUGCCCAUCUCCAAAGCACCCUGAAGUUUAUCAGGGGUUGCAUGAGAUCUCACAUAAAACGCUAUGCCAUUCAAUCUGUCUAAGGGCAAAAUCUGCCAAAAGUCUUUUUUAAGCUGUGCAUCCCAUGAAGGAGGUUUGAGUGACAAUGGAUGUAAAGUGCUACAAGCAUCUUUGGGCAUAUCUUACAUAACAGACUUCACAUUCACUUGGGACCAUGGGAAUAGUAGUACCACAAAAUGAGCUCAAGAUAACUGAUUUCUCAGCACUCCCUCCAAAAUUAAGUUCCCAGUAUUCUUUGGAGGAAGGUAUCACAGUUAAACUCUUAUAGCACCAAUGUGAGGUUUACAAUGUAGAUAUAACUUUGUUGUUUUCAUCUACGAUGAUGUUAGUGCAAAAGGAAAUGGCAAUGCGGUCUAAAAGCUGACUUAUCAAUAUGCACCUUUUCUGGUCACUAGAUGGUACUGUAGAACAGUUUUGUUUUGCUCUGGAGCUCUAAAAGGUGCCUGACUCGGUGCUAAGCUCUUCUAAGCCUGCUUCUUUGUUCCCCGCUGUGCUCCUGUUAUCCAGACAUGCUGAGACUAAUAAAGGAACCAACUGGGAAAGCCGUUCACAGUGAGCACGCCUAAUCAACCAAGGGGAAGGCAAGGUGCUUAAAAGGGUGCGAGGCAGAGCUGGUGUCAAGAUGAAAAACAACGUGUGUAAUCCUUCCUGGAGUGGAGCCGCUGCUGCUGCCAGCCUAUCACAGUCACAUGUAAAGGAGAAUUCUUCACAAUCAUCAGGCUUUAAUCUGAGUUUAGACUGCAGCUUCCCUCAUCUCUGUCCAGUGGUCAUGCUGGAUGGGAAUGAUGGAAGCUCCAGCCCAAUAAACAUAUGCUAGAACAACUCGGUGCUCACCUGUGGUUUUGGACUACAGCUCCCAUCACCACCACCACCACCAUCAGGUUGUGCUGGCUGUUCAAAAGUGCUGGAGAUCACCAGGCUGACGAAGGCCAUGGGGUUCCCACCCCUGGUCUACUCUGAGAGGUCAAAAUGGGCCUUCCUUAGCUAUGCUACCAAAAAUCCUCUCCCCUCUUAAAAAAAGAAAAUACUUGGCUUUUAUAGGGCUUGAACCUGGGGUCUUCUGCAUGCAAAGCAUAUGUUCCAUCAGUCACUGUCCUUCCCAUUUCUUCCUGGUACCUGCCUCUGGUAAACCACUGUUCCUAUUUUGGAGAUGCUUUAAAAUCUUUUUGUUAUUGUGUGCAAAUGUGAAUUAGAGGUCACUUUCCCCAGCUUUCUGUUCUGCAGCCGUCCUGGUUAAAUGAUGGUAAAUUUACUAGAAUUUAAAGAUGUUUUAUAAUACCACAACCAGAUCCAUUGUGUUCUCUGAUAUUCUUCAGUUUUCAGAAAUGGGCUGUUAUGGCCAGUUUCCUAACAUAGCCGGCCUCUGAUUGCCAGAGCAGCACAGGCUAUUGCAGAGGGAGUAAGAGCAGCUGACAGCAGCAGAUGUCCUUGUGCAAAGUGUAAUAAAGCAGCAAUCCACGAGAAAGCUGUUUUAUAAAUACAAAGACACGCCUGUCUUCUCAGCUGUUGAGUGUUGCAGACCUUCUUCCCCAAAGUUGCAGAUUCCCAGCUCCCUCCCACAACAGCAUUAAUAUUCUAAUGUGCAAAGAACAUGUCUGAUGGAAGCACCCAACCAUCUAUUGCAACAGAGUCUGCUAAGUACCUUUCCCCAGUGUGAUUACAAUGGCUGGGACUGAGCCCAGUUCAUAGACAAAGUCUACAGCUGAAAAGCCAUUUCUGCCUGCUGAGGGUUCCAUGUGGUGCAGCCUUCCAGGGGGCUCCUUGCAUGGAGACAAAACUUGGGAACAGCCUAUGAUCCAGCCAGUACUACAUGCAAUUGAGGGACACCAUUCAGAUCCUUUAGCUGUGACUCCUGCAUUGCAGCGGGCUGGACUAGAGGAUUCAUGGGGUUCUCCCUAAGUUCCAGCUCUAGAUGGCAAACUAGCUUAUAUAUUUAAUGUGGGCAUGCAUUCAGUGUGUUUUGUUUCUGCUUGAAAAACAAGGAGGCAAUUAGGAGCGAUGCCUUAUGAGGAACGGCUAAGGGAGCUGGGCAUGUUUAGCCUGGAGAAGAGGAGGUUAAGGGGUGAUAUGAUAGCCAUGUUCAAAUAUAUCAAAGGAUGUCACAUAGAGGAGGGAGAAAGGUUGUUUUCUGCUGCUCCAGAGAAGCGGACACGGAGCAAUGGAUCCAAACUACAAGAAAGAAGAUUCCACCUAAACAUUAGGAAGAACUUCCUGACAGUAAGAGCUGUUCGACAGUGGAAUUUGCUGCCAAGGAGUGUGGUGGAGUCUCCUCCUUUGGAGGUCUUUAAGCAGAGGCUUGACAACCAUAUGUCAGGAGUGCUCUGAUGGUGUUUCCUGCUUGGCAGGGGGUUGGAUUCGAUGGCCCUUGUGGUCUCUUCCAACUCUAGGAUUCUAGGAUUCUAGGAUCAGAACCAUGGUGUGUAGUUGAAGGGUUAUCUCUGCCCACCAAAGGAAAGGUCCCUUGAAGCUGCUCUUUGCCCUCUUGCCACUGAUGUCCAUGGAAGCCUCUUUUUCAAAGGGAGCAACACUCCAGGAACGAGGAGGAGAUUUUAACUGGGACCGUGGCUGGGGAAGAGGAUGCACACCACAGUUCAGAUCCUAGUUGCUUUUAUUUUCCAGGGGAAAAAAAGAAAUGCAUAUUCACAUGUCAUCUAGUUUGACCCUGAGGAUUACCAUACACUACUGCUGCAAUACAGAGAUAUGAAAAUGUGGAAGUAUUUUUUGGCAGCUGCCAUGUUACUAUGGCAACACAUGAGUUGGUCUUUAGUGGGAAGGCCUAUAGGGGAAGAGAGCACAACUUCUAAGCUGGCUUGAUACUUAAUUUAGAAAGUAAGUAUUUCUGCCAGCCUGCUGAUGUCCCACCUGCAAGUGUUGGAUUUAACCCCCUAGAGAGAAUCGUUGCAUCAUGGACCUUGUUGUGUAAGUUUUGUACUAGUGUAACUGUAUUGGCUUCAGUUCUAGAUCUCCCUGCAGUCCCACUUUAUAGACAAGUACAUUCAAGUCCUUUUUUUUUAUGUUGAAGCUAAGAUAAGAAAGGUUUGAAACUAGUACUAAAUAUGUUUAAUAGGGCAGAUUCUUUAUUUGUUAUAUUUUCCUCCACCCUUCUUAAUGUCACAACAAUCCUAAGAGAUAGGAUGUUAAACUGAGGGGCAGUGAGUUUUCCAAAGCCACUUCUUAUCUUCAAAGGCAAAUCUUGUUUGUAUGGUCACAUCAGUCUUUACCAAAGUGAAUGUUUCAAAUGGAGUUGACAUCCCUUAAAUACUCCAGGAGUCUGGGUUAUCUUGAGUGAUAAUAGUUCCCUGAAUAUUUGCUCACCUAAUAUUUGCUGCCUUCACCGGCUGUUUUAUUUGGAUUUCACUUGCUGGUCUUACUGUUUUAUCUGGUUUCUUUGGGUGGUAGUCAAUUAUGUUUUACUCAGAGUUCGACCCAUUAAAAUUAAUGAACACACCUAACUUAGGUCUACUCUGAAUAAAACAGUUAAACACCACCUUUUUAUAUUGUUCUCUGCUUUUUAGACUACAGUCCUAAAUAAAUUUACUGGGGACACAAUGCGGUUGGAUUUCUGAGUAAACAUGCCUAGGACUGCUCCUCAAGUGCAGUUUCUGUAUUCUGUGUUUUCAAGUUUACAUUUUGUCAUGGUGGGGCCUGCCAAGAUGCAAAAGGCAGCAUAUAAAUGCUGUAACCUAAAUAUUUCAGGCUGCAGGCAUCUUCCAUAACUCAGUUCUUUGCAGGAAACUCUGAUGUAAUAGUGAUGUAACACUAAAGUGUAGAGACCCCCGUGGUCCUCCAGACAUGUUUGGAUGAGGUUUCUGGUAAAAUGUGAGGGGGAAGACUGUAAAAAAAAAAAAAAAGGAGGGGAAGAAAUCUGUCACUUUUUGUGUGUGCUAUAGGGUAGACCCUUUAUUCUUCUGGGGAGGCUGCCAAGGCAAGGCUAUAUAGUUGCAAUGUUAUAAAAGAAGUGACAUGACUUGGUGAUGGAAUGAACAUUUUUAUUUAUUUAUUUUUUAAAUUUCUAUACCACUUUAUAUUUUUAAUAAAAACCUCAAAGCAGUUUACAGCAUAUUACAUCAAUAAAUCAAUAAAACAAUAGCCGGGUGAUGUUCCUCCUAUGGAAAGCAAAGGAGAGAGAGGAGUAAAAGAUUAUGCCAACUCUUUAUUCUUUCAAUGUUUCAUUCAUUCGGUGGGAUGGACCUUGUCAAUGGAUAUUAUUGAGAAGGAACAAUGUAUGGUAUCGGGCAUAUUGAGUUUGAAAUGUCAAUGGAAUAUUUAAGCAGGCUAUCAGGCUGGCAAUGGGAGUUGUGGAAUCAGGGGAAAGAAAAAGUCCUGGAGUAGAAAUGAAGGGAUAAUAAUAAUAAUAAUAAUAAUAAUAAUAAUAAAUUUUAUUUAUAUCCCGCCCUCCCCAGCCGAAGCUAACAACAAUAAAACAGUACAAAAUUACAGCACAAACAACACUCUAAAAUCAUUCAUUAUAAAAUUAAUUAAUACAUCAUGAGCAGACAGAUGGUAUUAGAAAGCCUUGGGAUUUGGUGAGGUCACUUAUUGACAGUAUGGGACAAAGUAGAAGUCCCCAUAGAUCCAUAGUGGAUCCCUAUGGAGAGAGGGAAAGAGGAGGACCUCUGAGAUCUUGGCCAUUCACAAUAUUUGCUUGGGAUUCUUGGUGCUCACAGGCAAAUGUUAACAUUCACUAGAUUUGGGAAUUUUGUGCAGCAUGGAUAUAUAUUUGUGUAUGGUUUUCAUGUUCAGUCAGCUGAAAAAAAAUGUUUGUUUUGACCUUCUGCUAUGUGCAUUAAAUGCUAAUUGAUAAUUCUCGAAAUGACUCUCAUACCCAGUCCACCAUAUUGAGCACCUCCACAUCUUUAAAUAAUGUUGUUGGUCCUCUCUGAAUUCCCCCCGCCCUGCCAACAUGACUUAUUCAGCCUUCGACAUCUGGUUGCCUCAUCUUUAUUCCAUCUCGCAAUGACUACUCGCUCAUAUUCUCAGGAACAAAUAGGCAUCAGAUUGAUGUCUUGAGACUCCCUUUAUAAUGGAGAGAUAAAUGGACCUCCUAAAUUACAUUUUUGUAUUGUCCAAUGAGAAAAGCAAGAAUUAACAGAUAAUGCAGGCUUGAGGGAUUUGCUGAGUACAGCUUUUCUUAUCCUCUUAUUUAUAUGCAUGCACAAUUCUAGAUGGUGCUCUUGAGAGCUGUGGAAUUGCUUAUGGCUGGGAGAGCAGACCGACAGGCUGAAGGGCAAGUAGGAUUUGCACAUACAAUGUGAAAUCUUCAGCAGGAGAGACAUUAAAAUUUCCCUCAUGAAUUGUUCCCACCUGUCAAGCACCUGAGAAAUACAAGUGAUAAAUUGCAGGGGUUGGUGGAGCAACAGUGGAGAUAAAUGGAAUGUAUUUACAGCAAUAAAAUCACCCCAUUGCCCCCAAAUACUUUUUACUGGUGAUGAGGAAGGUAAUGCUUUAUUUGGUCCAGUGUUGUGACUGAAAAUUAUAUGAUGAUUUCCCCGCUUUAAUUUAUUUACCAUCAUUAUGUUCAUUAACAACGUUUAGUGGGUGUCAUGGACUGGUUGGACACAGGCGAAUGGUGGGAGGAACCAGAGAGGCAACCACCAAUCAAAGAAGGCUUAGAGCCCGGGGAGUGGUGCUGGCAGUGCCGGAUUUAUGUAUAGGCUAAGUAGGCUGAAGCCUAGGGCCUCUAGGGGGCCUCCCCAGCUCCCCAGCCCUAAACAGCGGGCAAUCUCCCCUGUCCCAAAAUUGCAAACCCAAGACUUCAUGCGAGGGCAGGGCAACUCAGACCCAGCAACUGUGAGACUCAGGGCCAGCCAGUGGGGCCCAAUUUGAAACUCUAGGGCCCAACUUGGUUUUUUUUUGUUUUUGUGGGGCCCUAGUUCACAGCCAAAAUCUGCAGAAUCUUAGAGAUAUAAAUCCGUGUGCUAGGUCAUUUUCACAAGGUCAGCAAAGCCCUUCAGAAAUCAGACCUGUUAUUGAGUUCUUGUGCAAGUUUGUAAACAAAUUUUGAUGAAGUUUUCUGAUGUCCUUUAGAGGAGAAAUUGUGAAUUGCAGAAUUUUAAAUACCCAUCUCCAUUCAAUUUUGUUGAUAACACUCUUCCAUUUUCUUCUAGUCGUGAGGGUGGGGGGUUGGGAGGGGCCUCACAAGUGGAGUAGCCUAGGGCCUCUCUUCAUCUAAAUCUGGCCCUGGUGCUGGGACACUAAGAAGCGGAGGUGUUGGAAGCUGAAGGGGGAACAGGGCUUAGUGAGUGUUUUUGCUAAUACAGUCAUACCUCAUGUUACGUUUGCUUCAUGUUACGUUUUUUCAGGUUGUGUCCCGCGGCGACCAGGAAGUACCGGAAAGGGUUACUUCCGGGUUUCGCCACUCGCGCAUGCACAGAAGCGCCAAAUCGUGCUGCACCCCUACACUGAUAUGACGUUUCAGGUUGUGGGCUUUUCAUGUUGCGAACGGGCCUCCGGAACAGAUCCCGUUCGCAACCAGAGGUACCACUGUAAAGAGUUAACUCCAACUUGCACAGUGUGAUUUACUGCUGACUCGCUCCCAACAGUGGGUGGCAAGUAGAGAUUGCCCAAGAGAUAGAGGAGUUUUCGGCAGAGUCGGUAACCAAACCCUUAUGAAUUCCCCAACUUGAUGAAAUGGUGAAAUGCAGGUGAAUUCAUGAACUAGGCUACAAUGAAAUCGCAUUGAUAGGGAGAUAGCUGUCAGGGUUGGCACAGCGGUAUGGUGAUGUGCAUCAAACUCGCAGGGAUGGAUAAGGGAGCGGGGAAGUCCAGGUGAGUCCUCCCCUCUUGGAGAGGAGCAAUGAUUCAGUGCGGGCCAAUGAAGUUGCAGAUCUGCCGGCUCGACUUUUGGCAGUGGCAGAAUACAAAGAGGAAGGAGAAUGAAAGUGCUCCUUCUUCAUAUCAGAGGCUUUCUCCAGCUGCAGGGAGGUCAGGUGUUGCACCACCAUAUUGUCCACUCCUGGAAGAUAGGAACAGGCUCGCCAUUCGGUUUGCUAAUGUUCCACAUGGCUGUUAAAAAAUACUGCAAAACUGAUGUUAGCUUGGUGCAGAAUUGUGUGUGUGUGGUCAUCCGUAGAGAGCCCAUGCAAUUAAUUUCCCCUGGAAAUCAUAGACCAAAAUAAAGCUUGUUUGCCUUUCAUGAUUCAGGGGGAUUGUCAAUCACAUUGUUGGCAUCUACUCAGUUUGCAGUCCAGGGAAAUUGCACCAGUAUCAAAAGGCAAGUUUCUGCCAUACUUUGUAGCAUUUCAGCAAGGGUUAUCCUUGGCACGUUCUCAGAAGAUGCCAGUUCAUGUGAAAUCAAACUUACAGUGGUCAUUAGGGCCUCAGUAUUUCUUUCAGCUUCUGUUCAAUUGGCCUGAAUAACUAGUUGGAAGGAACCAUACUAGCCAAAAGAAAAGCCACCAAACAGUGAUGACCCCCAGGGCUGCAUGCCUGUCUAGGGGAUCGCAGGAAGUGAUGUAUUUGUUUAAAUAUUUAUAGGCCAACUGUUCAUCUGCACGGGUACCAGGGUGGCAAAAAGAACAUAAAUUAUGAAAUGCAUAAUAAAAAAAGAAACACAUCAUUCAGAAGUAACAGAUACAGCUAAAAACAAGAGAGCAGGUUGAACAACAACCAACUUAAAUUGCCUGGAUAGAUAGAUAGAUAGAUAGAUAGAUAGAUAGAUAGAUAGAUAGAUGAUAACAGCAUUGGCACCAGUGAUACUUGUGGGGAAAGGGCGUUCCACAAUAGGGGACACCGCAGAGAAGGCUCUAUCCCCCCUCACUGCCGCGUGAGUUUUCUGUAACAUUGGAACAGGGAGAAAAGCCUUCUCAUAUAAUAUCUGGUGCACUACAGUAACGUUGAGGCUGAGGUACAAAGCAGCCAGACCCUGGAGUGUGGCCUCUUCCACAAAUUUGUGUUAGGCAAACCCUCCAACUGAAGUAUCAGGGCAAUACUGUCCUACCUUACAAUUAUUUAAUGUGUAUGCAUGAAGAUUUAUUUAUUUAUUGUCUCCUUUAAAACUUAAUUUAUUUCAUCUAGGGUUUUAAAUAUCCCCAUGAGCAAAUUUAGGCAUAGAUAAUGAAACGCCUUUCAAUUGCUCCUACAUUUGGAUUGUCAGAAGUGUGUGAUUUAAUAAGUAAAUAAAUAAAUAUGUGUAAUGAGAUGGAAACUCUUUGACAAUGCUUUCUGCCACCUUGGCAUGAUUUUCUAUUGGAGGGAUUAAUAUAUUCUUUUGUUUUAAUGAUAAUAACAAUUUAUGUGGCUUAUUGCCAAAGUCUAAAGCCUUUGUUUCAAUAAAUUAUAAGAUUUAGCUGUCUUGUUUGAUCUCUUAAUCGCUAGCUGUUGUCCAGUCAGCUUCUCUUGUGGUCUUUGAGCCAAGGCGUCUUCCAGCUUCGGCUUCUUUCUUAUUCGAAGAAUCAGUUGCUCCUCUUGCCUUAUUCUUUAUUUUUCCCCAGCACAGUUUAUUUCUUCAAAAACUCUUCCAAUAACUAUUCUUAGCAUCCUGUGUGGUAACCAGUUUACAACUGGAAUCUUUGAAUUAUUUAUCGUUCUUCACUUUGUAAUAUACUUUGUUGAGUUUCCAUUGUUUUAAAUGUAAGACAUAAGUGAAAUGGGAGCAUAGUGUACAAAAGUUGUAAAUUGUUUCAUCCUACUGUUUGAUUUUCUUGAUAUUAAACUAGAAAUCUAUAAUUAAAUAUGAUUUUCAAGGAGAGGAGUUUAUAGACUUUAAUCUUGGUUUGUUUUUGUUUUUUUUAAAAAACAUCCUGCAUAAGUUAAAAUAUUUUUAGAUCUCUUCUUCUCUGAAAAUGGAAAAUAUGAACAUUAGGAUCAUGCGGUCACACGGGUGUUCCUUUCACCCCCCCCAUGACCUGUACUUUCAGGGAUGACUCCAGGAUUUGGGGAACUUUGGGGAAGAUGCCCUUUCUGGACCCCCUUAGCCUAGAAGGGUGGGGAGAUGAACAUCAAGGACUCUCUCGCAUUGCCUCUGUCCUUCGUAAGUGCUUUCUUCCAAGUCACAGUGCUGCUGCUGCUCUGCUUUUGCAGGGGCCCAGUGCAUGUAGAUGUGGCGUACUCCAGUGGCAGGUGGUUCCAUGUUCACCAGAAAGGGGAUAGUGGCAUGGACUGGUUGUUUUUUUAAAAAAAAAAUUAUUCAAAGUUAUAACAAAACAUAUUUUCCAAAAACAUAUCCUUAUUUCCCCCCAUUUUUCCUCCCCCUCCCCCACAAAACCCAUCCCCCACCCCACCCCCCGACUUCCCUCAGUUCCAGUCUUUGGUUUCUCCAAUAAUGCUAUUUUCUGCAUGUUACAGAGUUGUAUAGAUCCUCCAACUGUUUAGCUAAUUAUUAUCUGUAAAAAGAAUUGUGGAUGUUUAUUCAAAACCUGCCAGGGAGUCCAGUUCGCUUUGUUGCGUCUUCAAAUACUUUGUGAAAGGUUCCCAUUCAUCCUUAAAGUCACAGUUAUUCUUGUCCCGUAGCUUAUGUGUCAAUUUUGCCAGUUCUGCAUAAUUCAUCAAUUUUUCUUGCCAUGAUUCUUUAGUUGGGAUUUCUUCAGUCUUCCAUCCUUGUGCUACCAGAACUCUCGCAGCCGUUGUCACAUACAUGAAGAUGUUUUUCAACUUUUUUGGCAGGUCUUUCCCUACAAUCCCCAACAAAAAUGCCUCGGGUUUUUAAACAAAUGUUAAAUGGAACAUUUUCUUCAGUUCGUUGUAUAUCAUUUCCCAAAUUUUUAAAAUUACUUUACAAUCCCACCACAUAUGAUAAAAUGUUCCCUCCUUUUCCUUACACUUCCAACAUAUAUUUGAACUAGUUUUGUACAUUUUCCCUAACUGCACUGGUGUUGUGUACCAUCUGUACAUCAUCUUCAUGUAGUUCUCCUUCAAUAGGGAACAAUCUGUAAAUUUUAAGUCAGUUUUCCAUAAUUUAACCCAAUCCUCCAUCAUAAUGUUGUGACCUACAUCUUGUGCCCAUUUAAUCAACUGAUUUUACCUCUUCAUCUUUCGUCUCCCAUUCUAAUAGUUUCCCAUUCAGUAGUUUCACUUUCCCUUCAAUCACUUCCGUUUGAAACCUAGAUCUAGUAUAACUAAAUCCUUUCUUACAGUCUUCUUUAUAUGUUUCAUGUAAUUGUCGAUAAUGCAACCAACUCUGAACGUGUCUUUGAUCUCAUCAUAAUCUCUUAAUUUCCAUUUUCCAUCAUGGUCUUUUAAUAAAUCAGCAUAUGUGAGCCAUUUUCCUUUCUUUCCAAGUGGUUUGAGCAGUAAUGCUUCAUGUGGUGAAAGCCACCACGGAGUCUUUUGUUCCAAUAAGUCUUUAUAUCUCUCCCAUACUCUCAUUAAUGAUUUCCUGAUUAUAUGGUUGUAAAAGCUUCUAUGAAUCUUCCCUUUCCCGUACCAUAAAUAUGCAUGCCAUCCAAAUCUGUUGUCAUGUCCUUCUAGUUCUAAUGCCUCUUGCUUGUCCAAUCUCAUCCAGUCCCUGAUCCAUACCAAACAAGCAGAUUCGUAAUACAAUUUAAGGUCUGGGAGGGCAAACCCGCCUCUUUCUUUUACAUCUGUAAGUAUUUUAUGUCUUAUCCUUGGCCUUGGACUUGGACUUGGACUGGUUGGAUGCAGAGGAAUGGUGGGAAGAACUAGUUGGGGAACCAGGGAAGAAGGCUCAGAGCCCGUGGAGUGCUGGUGGGACAACAAUGUGUGGUCAGAGGUAAAAGCCUGGGAAGCCGUGCUCAUUAGACCUGACACUCAGUCAAUGAAGCCAAUGAAGCUAAUAACGAGUUAACUCCCACUUGAAUGGUGUGAUUCACUGCCAGUUUACUCUUUGACAGGGAGGGUAGGGGCAGACACAAUGUCAGGAAACCUUUAGGUUGGCUGCAGCAUUCUGCAGGUGUGCACAUAGCUGUCCACCUGAAGCUCUCCUGAUCUCACCACGGCCAUCCUGGGGAACGCAGCACCACUUGCUCAAGGGGGCACUGAUGCUGUUCCUCCCCCUCUCAUGUGCAUCUGUGGGAAUGCACAACCUCACCUCACUGUCCCUAGCCCUUUAUUUUGCCUCCUCCAUUCCCCAGCCACUGGGGGAUAUUCGGGUCAAUGGCGCUCUUCACAAUGCAGUGAGAUAGGAAGUGCAUGCAAGGGCACAUACUUUUUCAUUGCAGUGAAAGAGAGAGAUUCUAUAUCUCAUUGUAUCUUUCGUCUCUGGGACGGCAGUUCUUUAAUCUGACAAUCCCGCUGUCUUCGCCAGCUUGUUAUAAUGAGAUCAGACAUAACUGGCUUUUCAAUCUUGUUUGAAACAUAAAAGAAGUUGAAAAGACUUCUCUUAUUGCUCUGGCUGGAAUUGUCACUGCUCUAAGCUCUUCUGCUGCUUCUAAUCUCAUCUAAAAAUCAGCUGAUCUUUAAAUUGGCAAUGGCUGUCUCUUUUCCGUCUUUCCUUUUAACCCAGGGUUGUUUUCCAUGGCAAACCUUUCCAUCUGUUUUGUGAAGAUUAUAUAGAGCUUUUGUCUUCCAGUGACAUCACAGAAAAGCUUUCUGUGUUCAGAUAAAACCUUUAUUUGUCGCCAAAGCAAAAGCCUUUAUUCUAACACCAUUAGGAGGUUUUGCUUAUAUCUUCCCAAGUCGGUUGCUGGAUUCACAUGUUCAUUUUUUAACAUGGCAUAUGUCACUCCACUGUGUUUUUAACUCAUCGGUUUUCAUGCAGUGAACAUGUAUGGAUGUUCCCUCAUAUCUUCACAAAUAUAUCUACCAAAGGUUACUAGUCCACAAAUUGCUUUUACUAGACUGCUUACUGGCCUGCUUACUCAUAUUAAUAUGUCAGUGACAGGCCUCCUUAGAGGGAGCAAGUAAUCUGAUGGUACAAAGGUCCAGAGAAGGAUGGGAUCCUGGUGCUCUCUCUUUCUCUCCCUUCCCCUCCAACCAGCCAAUACUUGGAUAGAUGGAAUAGUGGACCCUCUCUGAUACACAUUGGAUUUGGAAGGUAACUGCAUUCUAAUUCCCACAUGAGCCUCCCCUCUGUGAAUUAGCUUAGAUGAAUUAGAUUGGAACAAUCACUUACACUUUCUGGAGUUUAUUCAUGCAGGAACUAUUUACACAAUGUGUGGAGAUGAGAGAGAGAGAAACAGCAGAUGUCUUGUCUCAACGAGUUGGGAGAUAACAGGAAAAAAAUGGCUCAGCUUUUAGGGGUGGAUUUAACUUAGACAGAGAGCUACAAACAAAUGCUGGCUAGAUACCUACACAAAUAGUGCCUUCUAGUGGUUUAAAGUAACACAUGUAGGAAUUACAAACAAAUAAAUGUAUUUGCUUUUCUCCAAUGAAACCUUGCUGCCAGCAUAUUUAACAGAGGCGGGGUGUGUGUGUGUGUGUGUGUGUGCGCACGCAUGUGCGCUCCACACAGUGGCUUGCUAUAAAUCACUGUUUGAAGGCCCUCCCCCACCCUGUUCAACAGCUUUCCUGGGCCUGCCUGCCAUUCCUCAUGCUGCAGUUGGUGUGGCUGCCCAUUGCCGGCCAAGCCUACUGCAGAGUGUAAUGACACCUUACAUUUUUAUGUAUAUAGGAAUAUAUAUACAGACAGUGACCAUUUUGCACGGGGGUUCUGUUCUUGGUUCCUGCAUGCACGCUAGUGGAGCACUCAAAAGCCUGCCCUGUGCUGUUAUGCCCCGUUCUACCCCUCAUUAUUCCCCACCCCUGUUCCACCCCCAUUCUGCCCUCUUCUGGGUCCAAGUGGAUCAUCAGUUGCACAUCAAUUGGGCAUGCGCAAAAUGGUUGCUGGCAUUAUAUAUAUGCCCAUGAAACAUCCUAAAGCAAUUUAACCCAUCAACAAUACAUAUAGUGGAUAGUGUAUUAAUAGAAAGAACCUAGGAGUUGGUUUAUGUUACAUUGCAAUGUUAUGUCACUCUUAGGGCUUGAGUCAGGUGCAGAUCAGCAACAAAAAACAAUAAAUCACCCGAGGACAGUGAAGUUAAAUCUUUAUUCCAGGAAACAACCACAGCUCAGACCUGGUGGUCUCAGAAACUAUUCUUAGGAGGUCUUGUCCUGAUGGCACAGUUUUGAAGACUGAAGGUCCUUGCCUUCCCAUCCCUGUCUAAGGUUCCUCCUCGCCUGGGUUUUCCCUACGCAGUCUCAAACUGUGUCUGUGCAUGACUAAUCUCUGUUCUGUUCUUUUCAUUUCUCUGUGUGUUCUUGGAGGCCACGGGGGGGGGGGAGGGAAGCUGGUCGCAGCAGGAGGGAGAGACUCCCUGGACUCUUCAGCAGCCUGUUUCGCACUCUGCCUCUUGACCCUUCUCUGCUUCAGCCUCAGAGUCUGAACUGCACUCUGCCAAAGACUCUUCCUGCUCACUGUUGCCUCUCCAGCUUCUGACAGCUCCUCCUCACAGUCUGCUCCCUCUUCUCCCUCUGACCACUCAUCCUCCUCCUCCUCCCUCCAAUCCCCUGGCUCUCAGCCUUCUUCCCCUAGGGGGUUCCCUGGCUGGUACAUCCCACCACUCUCUGCAUCCAGCCAGUGUUUGGCAGUUACAUAAUAGUUACAUGCUCCAUGAAUAUAAAAUUAUAAUAACAGUACCUGAUAAACUUACAACGUAAUGAGGUUUAGGGUAGGGUUGCCAAGUUGUUGAACUACACUUCUAACAUGGGAUUUUCUCAGACACUUCAGCGAUUUCCACCCGGACGCUGUUUGUGAGGGCCAAAUACUGGCUAUGUCCAGCAAAUGCACGAUUGACACUUUCUUUCCUACACCCUUGUAAGAGUAUUACCAUCUCCACAAUUGUUUUGCAGUGAGGGCUCCAGUUUUGUGGAGGAAGCUUUACUAUAUUAAAUUUUGUCUCAUGGUGACUCUUGCAGCAGGAGACUCAAUGACACUGGCAUUCUAUUUCCAUUAAAUUAUUAAAUUCCAGUUACUUCUGUUAAUAGGAUAAUAUGCAGAUCAAGUUACAAAGGAGAUUUACCCAGAUACUUGUAAAACGUGAGUGCUGGUUCCUCAGCUUUGCGGCUUUAUAAUCCUUUGGCUUUUCCAAGUGUAAUGAGGGGAUAAACUAUUCAUUAGAGUUUUGUGGCAUCUGCCUCUUGGGGAUUUUAGCUCUCUGUCACCAGGCUGAGGCUGCAGUGUAAUGACUUGGGUCACUUACAUUUUCUUGUAUAGUGGCUCAAGGUCAAGUGGAGUAAAACAUGGAAGACUGGGCUGUCAUGGGAGACGAAUAGCUUGGAAAAUAGUUUUCAUGGACUGAUUCCUAGGGCCACCUGACUGAUUUGGAACAUGGUUCAUUCACGUGCGUCAUUCUAUGUCAAAUGUGGGUAUUUGAAAUGUGUAUAUUUUAUAUGUUGCAUUAAUGUGCCCUCUGAUAUAUUCUCAUCUGACCAUGUAGGCUGGGAUCUGGAUGUAGAGCAGAGACCUAUGUCUGGAGACUUGUGUCACAUAUGAACAGCUGAGAAUUACCAGGGGACGGCACUUUUCAAAGUGGAUGGGGAAGCUGUAGAGAGGGGUCUUCCCAGCCACAGAUUUCCCUCAAAACCCAGGGUUCCAGUUCCAUUGUUGCUCUCUAGGUGAAAUAACAUGCCCAAGGAACACACAGAGAGAAAUCACAAACUAAACAACUCUAUAUGUGAUUUACAAAAAUUCAUUAACAAUAAUGUCUGACAUUUCAACACCUUGUGGAAAAAGGCAGCUAGGUUAUUUGUGGGGCAUAAGAAUUCCUUCAUAUUUCCCCCCCCCCCCAAAAAAAAAUAUAGUCUGGCCCACCACAUGGUCUGAGGGAUGGUGGACCGGCCCACGGCUGAAAAAGGUUGCUGACCCCUGAUCUGGAACAAGCAGAAAGAGAAGAAGUGACAAUAAUUAUACAUUUCUUCCUCCGUCAAAGCAAGUGGUCUUCACCCCACCCCCUCCUGCUACUUGAAAUCUCUUAGCCUCUUCUGGGGAUAUGUUGCACUUUAUAUUAAGAUGGUAAUUUUGUAAAUCAGGUAGUGAUUUCUUUCUUUCUUUCUUUCUUUCUUUCUUUCUUUCUUUCUUUCUGGACCAUUGGCAUUUGAGUUUUCCUAGCAAAAUAAUGCACCACUUCCCAACUGCGGCCAGCCUCUCAUGGCUUCCAAGGCUGCUGUUUUCUCUUUAGAGCCACAUUCCUUGGCUUGACAGCAUCUGUAAUAGUGCUUUCCCCUUCUUCCUGCCUUCUAUUUUUUGAUCCUGGGGCACAAGGUCCUCUCACCUGGGUGACCUGCUGUCGCUGCAUCCAGUUCACUGGCAUGUCAUGCUCAUAAUUCAUUUGCUACUGUAAAAUGACUCUGCCUUGAAGGGUUGCUUUCAAAGCCAAUCAGAUUUUCUUGGCCAUAUGCAAAGCUUUCCGCCUUUAAUACCACAUUGGGGUCCUUUGCACAUGUCAAUCAUAACUGGUGUAGCCACAACCCAACAAAACAAAAACAAAACUCCACACAAGGAAAAUAUAUUCCAUUCAGCUCUGAGGAAGGUAUCAUCUUCUUACUUCUUUGGUGAUCACUUGUAGCCAAGUAAGAUUGUCUUCCAUGAACAUGGUCUUAACAAUGACCAUAGAGGCCAAUUCUGGAACCACAAGCUGGAUCAUGUAGAAGUGGGAGCAGUCCCACACUUUUUGCAAUUCCUCCCAGUGAUGCAUCCCCAUUGAGACCCUUUCGGUAAAUUAUUCUUUUCUCAUAUACCCCAGCAAUCAAAGAUUGGGGGUGGAGGUGGUAUAACACUGGGGACAGAAAUAUGGCCCUGCUCAUGCCUGCACAUGAGAGUAGCAUAUAAAUGCAUGAAUAGGACCCAGGGCCAACACGUCCCUGAGGCAGGCUGUGGGGUUGGCAAACCCCAAGAGGCAGUGCCCAAGGAAGUGCCCUGCGCACAUUGCUGCCCCUGCAGCUGGUGGAGAAGUGGCAGCAGUGGGAGCUGCUGACAAGAUCUGGAAAGAGUCCAUGGAGAUCUCACAAGAUCUUGCUGGAACCUGCCAUUGCUGUGACUGCUUCACCGGUGCUGCCAGGCGACCCAGACAAGGAAGGCGUUGGCGUUGGCAUGGCAACCACGGGGCAGCAUCUUCUUGUUUCACCUCAGGUGGCAAAAUGGGCUGCCCCGCCCCGAUAGGACCUUUGUUUUCUUUGGAUUAGAAAGCCCAAACUCCCAGGUUUGCCAUCAGCUGAACAAGGAGAAAUAUUGUAUUCCAAAGCAAAAGGGAACCCUGUGACUCUCAGUAGCCCUAUCUUAUUGUGCAGUCUUCAAGCACCUGUGAGUUCUUCCUGCUCUUAAUGACAGGCCAGUGUUGCCAGUUAAGGUGGCCAGCUGCAAGAGAGGACACACAGGGCUUUGGCACUUUUAAUGGUGGUGUAGGAGAGGGGAUUUCAACACCUGUUGCUUGCUGCUGAAAACAAACCUCUAUUAUAACUGUUAAAGAGGCUGUCAAGAGACCUCCCCUCCGUUGCAGCUGGCUCCUGUACCCAUCGUCCUUCAGCUGUAAACAGCUUGCAGAAAUAAGCUUGGCAAGCAGAUUCACCUGGAAGCAAAAUGGAAUAAUGGUUAUUAUCAUUUCAAGGUUUGUUUGAGGCAUGGGCUCAAAAGCGGCAGGAGUGGGGGUUUGAGGAGUACACAUGAUGAAAUUCCAUGUGUUCCCCACCCCUCAAUUUUAUUUUUUAUUUCCUUGUUUUAUUUUGGUGGGUAUUUGAUGGUGUUAAUUGCAGAAGCCACAAUAGCUUUGUGGUUUUAAAUUGUUUUUAGUAUUAUGUUUUAUUAGGACCUUAGGGUGAAGGGCUGGCAAUCAAUCAAUCAAUCAAUCAAUCAAUCAAUGAUAUGCAGUUACCAAUAUUUUUGACCCAUUUCUCUUCCCCAGAUGCUGAAUCAAGCUGGAUUUCAGCC